AUGAGAGCUGCUGCCUUAAACGGAAAGGAGCAGCAGGUUUGGGUGGUGGCAGGGGACAAAGCUGGACGCAGGCAGGAGCGCUAUAAGGAACCUUUAAAAAAAAAAAUCUUUGAGGUGCUGCCACCAGACUUAGACAAAAAAAGACACGUGUUGCUGAAGAUGGAUCAGGCUUUGCUAUUCAUCCAUAAUGAGCUUCUCGGGACCAACUUGACUGUCUACUGGAAAUUGGAAUCCUGUUAUCACUGCUUGUUUCAGGUUCUGGUAAAUGUUCCUCAGAGUCCAAAAGUGGGGAAGCCUAGCACUGUAGCCGUCCCUGUCAGCACCCAGCACAGAUCCAUCCUACAGCUGCACGACACCUUGGAAGAGAAAGAAGUUUGUAGGCUGGAAUACAAAUGAGGAGAAUUUGGAAACUAUUCUCUCUCGGUAAAGUACAUCCAUAAUGGAGUUAGUGAAAUUGCCUGUGACCGGGCUGUGAACGAGGAUCCAGCCAACAGUAACCUUCCUGUGAGCACCGCAUUCCUUAUUGGUCUCACUGUCAUCACUGAGGCUCUUGUGGAGUUUGGAUGCCUUUAAUAAUUGGAUUUCUAAGGCCAUAAGUUCUCGAGAAACUGAUCGCCUCAUCAAUUCUGAGCUGGGAUCUCCCAGCAGGACAGACCCUCUCGAUGGUGGCAUCCAGCCAGCAGUGUGGCAUCCAUUUGCCCUGCUGCUCCCUCUCCACGGCAUGGACACCUUCAGGGGGAUUGCUGUCAUACUCAGGGUCUUCGUCAAUUAUGGAGAAGGGAAAUAUUGAUACUUCAAACUCAUGAGUUGGAAUGGGUUGUUGUUAUUGCCUUGGUCCAUUGUCUUGGACAAGGUGCGCAUUCCUGGUGUGCUGCAGCUCUUGGGGGUGACUUGCUUUGUGGUUGCUGUGUCGGAGCUCCUCUUUGUUAAUCCUGUGCCUGAACAUUGUGCCUCAGAGAGGAGCUGCCUUUCUCUUCGAGACAUAAUGUCCAGCUGGUCCUAGAGGCUGCAUAUCCUGGCGCUGGAAGGCCUGUGUCUGGGCUUGACACUCCUCCUGCCAGUCUCUGGGUGCCCUACUGGUUAUCUUGGUCCUGGAGGCAUUGGGGAUUUUGGCAAGUAUCCAAAGUGUACUGGAGGAGCUGCGGGCUACAUGGACCCGCUUGCAGCUGGGAGACGAUCGCCUUUACCAGCACCCAUCUUCUGCUGUGCUUUACCACACCGAGGUGGCCUAUGACCCUGAGGGCAUCCUGGGCACCAUCCACUCCAUCGUGAUGGCCUUUUUAGUAGUUGAGGCCGGAAAAAUACUAUUGUAUUACAAGGCUCAGACUGAAGACAUCCUGGUUCGAUUCACUGCUUGGUGUUGUAUUCUUGGGCUCAUUUUUGUUGCUCUGACAAAAGUUUCUGAAAAUGAAGGUUUUACUCCAGUAAACAAAAAUCUCCGAUCCCUUUCAUGUGUCACCACACUCAGUUCUUUUGCCUUCUCCAUCCUGCUGGUCCUGUACCCGGUUGUGGAUGUGAAGGGGCUGUGGACAGGACCCCUGUUCUUUUAUCCAGGAAUGAAUUCUAUUCUGGUGUAUGCUGCCCAUGAGGUGUUUGAGACCUACUUCCCCUUUCAGUGGAAGUUGGAGGACAACCAGUCCCACAGGGAGCACCUGACUCAGAACAUUGUUGUCACUGCCCUCUGGGUGCUCACUGCCUACAUCUAGAGAAAGAAGAUUUUUUGGAAAAUCUGA